CCUACGGGAGGCAGCAGUGGGGGAUAUUGCACAAUGGGGGAAACCCUGAUGCAGCGACGCCGCGUGGGCGAAGAAGUAUUUCGGUAUGUAAAGCCCGAUCAGCAGGGAAGAAGAAAUGACGGUACCUGAGUAAGAAGCACCGGCUAAAUACGGGCCAGCAGCCGAGGUAAUACGUAUGGUGCAAGCGUUAUCCGGAUUUAUGGGGGGUAAAGGGAGGGCAGGCGGCACGGGCAGCCUGAUGUGAAAGCCCGCGGCCCAACCGCGGGACGGCCUUGGGAACUACCGGGCUGGAGUGCCGGAGCGGUAGGCGGAAAUCCUAGUGUAGCGGUGUAAUGCGUAGAUAUUAGGAGGAACACCAGUGGCGAAGGCGGCCUACUGGACGGUGACUGACGCUGAGGCUCGAAAGCGUGGGGAGCAAACAGGAUUAGAUACCCCGGUAGUC
rnacentral:rRNA from 1 species